AGCGAACGCUGGCGGCAGGCUUAACACAUGCAAGUCGAGCGGGCGUAGCAAUACGUCAGCGGCAGACGGGUGAGUAACGCGUGGGAACAUACCUUUUGGUUCGGAACAACACAGGGAAACUUGUGCUAAUACCGGAUAAGCCCUUACGGGAAAGAUUUAUCGCCGAAAGAUUGGCCCGCGUCUGAUUAGCUUGUUGGUGAGGUAACGGCUCACCAAGGCGACGAUCAGUAGCGGUCUGAGAGGAUGAUCAGCCACAUUGGGACUGAGACACGGCCCAAACUCCUACGGGAGGCAGCAGUGGGGAAUAUUGGACAAUGGGCGCAAGCCUGAUCCAGCCAUGCCGCGUGAGUGAUGAAGGCCCUAGGGUUGUAAAGCUCUUUUGUGCGGGAAGAUAAUGACGGUACCCGUAGAAGAACGCCCCGGCUAACUUCGUGCCAGCCGCCGCCGUAAU
rnacentral:rRNA from 1 species